rnacentral:lncRNA from 1 species
GCGACCUUCCAACGCAUGCUCUGCUUCUGCCUGGACUUUUCACGCCUAGAGCCUUAGGCCUUUGAGGCAACAGAGCCCUGGAAAGGACAAUGGUCUCCUGCUUGGCGCCCUGAGACAAGUCCUCAGAGAAGAGCUCUGCCCCACCCAAGACCUAGAAGGAACUGAGGGCGGGAGAGCUCUCCCGAGAAGCAGGCCCCUCAGAGCGUAGUCUUCCAUGGCCUGAGGCAGCUGGGAAGGCCGCCGCAAGCUGCUGGGAUGGAAGCUCCAAGCGUCUGGUGACCUUGGCCCGGGGACUUUCGCCCGCCUUUCUUCGCUUCGGGGGCAAAAGGACCGACUUUCUACAGUUCCAGAACCUGAGGAACCCGGCGAAAAGCCGCGGGGGCCCGGGCCCGGAUUACUAUCUCAAAAACUAUGAGGAUGACAUUGUUCGAAGUGAUGUUGCCUUGGAUAAACAGAAAGGCUGCAAGAUUGCUCAGCACCCUGAUAUUAUGCUGGAGCUUCAAAGAGAGAAGGCAGCUCAGAUGCAUCUGGUUCUUCUAAAGGAGCAAUUCUCCAACACUUACAGUAAUCUCAUAUUAAC